CAUGCAGCCGACGGGCCCUCUGCCGCCUCCUCCUCCUCCCCUGCCCCGGCAUGCUCCCUUUACAUGGCUGCGCGCGGCCACUCAUGGGACCCUGCUGGCCACCCACCUCCUCCUCCUCCUCUGUGACUGGCCGGCGGAAGCGCGCAAUCGGCCCGUUUGCGUGGCUGGGCCGUGGCCGCGCGCCAGCCAUCCUCCAAAGGGAGCUGGUCCCCUUAAGGAGGCAGAGCCUCAGAAGAGGAGGAGGCAGAGCGGACUCUGGGCCAGAGGGAAGGGAAAGGGCUCAGGCGCGAAAUACAAACAGGAAGAGGGGCAGGAGCAGCAGGAGAAGGGGAGACCGGGAUAUGGAGGAAAUACUUGCCAACUUGGCGAAGCUUAAAGGAAUUCUGCAAUGGAAAAUGGUAGUAGACACCGUAAUAGUCUCUGUAUAUAUCGUUGAAUGGAUCCUAAUGAUAACACUGCUUCUGAAGAGAUGGUUAUCUGUGAAGAAGCAGCAGUAAGUCACUGCUCAUUUUGAACUUCUCCUCCAAUCCUUUUAGCAAUGAAAUGGCUUUCAAAUUGAAAUGGGGUUUAAUUUUGUGGCAUAAAUUUUUCAACUUAUACACAAGUAUAUAUGGUGCCUUGCUUUGUCAUCUACAAUAUCAACAUAGAACAUAAUGUUAUAAUUGUAGAGUUUCAUGACAAGGUAGUAUCAUGUUCUUCAUGUUCUCCUACAUGUCCCACUAUGCCAAAUCUUCAAAAUUGGAUCCAUUUCCCACUGUUCUAAUCACAUAGAUGAAAUGUCGGCUUUUUGCCAGUGCAUUGUCACUCCAUUUUCAGCUGGCAUCAAGGCGGAUUGGGGCCACGGCAUGUGGAUGAUGCAGCCUCAAUCUAUCUUCGGAAAUGGAGGCUUCAAGCCACCCGUUCAGGCCAUCUGUUUCGGCAUUAGAGUCAGUAAUAGGGAAGAAAUGGAUGCUCAGAACACUUAUGUUUUGUACAGGUUGAUUCUGCCUUAUCUGAAACAUUUGGGACCAAAAGUGUUCUAUUUUUUUUUAUUAUUUCAGAUUUUGGG